GCUAGCAUAGUAUAGUGGUUAGUACGUAUCGUUGUGGAUGUCUCGGCUCCUUCGAGAACAAGCUCCGAUUCGACCCAGGUUCGAUUCCUGGUGCUGGCA